AAGAUCUGCACGUCCUUGUUGAGAGCUUGCAGUUGGGGAAUCUUGAAAGGUUUUGCAGCUGCAGAGAAUGAGUGAUGGCCCACGUAGCCGUCAGAACACAAUUGAAGAUAAAGAUCUCUGUGAAGCAGAACUAAUCCCAGGCAACCUUAAAAGAGACACCUGAUGGCUACAAAACACAAAGCUAAUGAAAAUCCUCAUAGGCUGCACAGAGGCAUGGAACUGAUUCCCUCUCAACUUGAUCUGUACAUGUAAUGUUCAUCGCAGAUGUGACUGAUGGAGCCAGUCAUAGCAAGGCUAACGUUAGAGUGUAGCAAAAUCUCUGAGAAAUAAAAGAGGAACAGAGGCAUCAGCAAGCCCAAGGCCAACAACCACCUACAGCGAACGCCAAAUAGCCUGCACAUGAAUACAUGCAUCUGAAAGGCCCAUCAGGAUAAGCAGGCAAUACAGGAAAGCCAGAGACUAUAGUCCUCACCAUUUCCUCUGGAUGACAGAUGCA